UAAAAAAAGUCCAGUUCAGCAGCACUAAUAUAUGUUGGGGUGCAAGUAUGUUUUUAUGAUUUUGUAGUAGUGGUGUUGUUCAGGUGGUUUGUUGCUGAAGUUUAGGCUGGACACUAUCCAACUCUUAAGAUUUUCUUUGGCACUUCUCAGUCUUUGUGUCCAUGGCCUUAUUGGAAGUGUUGGUGGCUUUGUCAGGAUUGGAAGUUAUCCUGAUAACAAUGAGGCUGGUCUCCCCAUGCAGGAUUAUGUGAAAUCACAGAGUUCCUAUAGUUGGUAUGGCUACGAAGAUGUAUCAGAUCCCAUCAGUCCUCGAAGGUCUAGGAAUUUCACUUACAGUGCAGCACAAGUUAAGGGUGUCUAUAGCAGUGUAAGCUAUAGUCCUCAAAAUGGCUCUUCUGGUUUUGGACCAAUGACUAAUGUACAUAUGCCUGGUUCUGACUCUGAUGCUAGAGGUCAAGUUGAAGGGUCUCUGAUAUCUUCAGCUAGUAAUGGCAGUCUUGUACCCAUUGCAGUGGCCACAGAAUCAGAAAGUAUGAGCAUUGAGUCUCUACCCAAGCCAGCAUAUCUCCACUAUCAAACUUUAGGGCAGUCUAGUAAUGAGUCUGUGGCAUCUAGUAGCCAGCAACUAAUUCAGACCAGCUCCCAGUCCACUGGCCAAUUAGUGCAAGUCCACUACCAGUCUCCAGUGCAGCCCAUUGUCAAGCCUCAAAAGAGUAGACUUCAAGUUGGUUCCAAGUUAUUUUCUCUUGCCAGUGCAGACUUCAUGUUCUACCUUUUGUUGUAAAGCCUUUGCAGCAAAGAAUAGAGUCCUCACGACCCAGCUAUCAAUUAGGACAAGGCAGCUAUGGGUCUGGACUUGUGCCAUUGCUCAGUGGGCAGCAACAAGUGCAGUCAAGCAAUAAUUCCAUGGUUCAGCCUAGCAGUGUGCAACUAGCACAGGCAAGAUACCAACCUGUGGCCCUGCUCAGCCUCCAACAAUCAUCUCAAGCCAGAAUUUGGAACAAGUUAGCACAGGCACAGGUCAUCCCAGGCCUCUUACUAGUCAUUGUCCCGGGCCGGUGGCUUGCUGUCAGCACAAGCCAGCUCCCAGUCUGUGUCCCAGCAGCUUGGAUUCCAUGUGUUUUCUAUGCCAGAGCAGUCGAGUUAUGAGUCUCAUUCCAGUCUUGGUUCCCAACCUCUAGAGCAACCCAGUAAUGUACCUCUUUCUUCAAGCUAUGAGUAUGUGAUGCAAUCUUUCAAGCCUGGCUUUCAAGAUCCAGCACCUCCACACUCUCAGACUGCUCAACAAGUGUUUGCUUUUUGUUUUUGAAAAAUAUUUUUGAAACAUCUUUGAGGUUUUGGUGUUUAUUUGUUUAAUAGAUACGGGGUGGGGGGAUAAUGUGGUGUCAUUACCCAAAACUUCAUUAAAUCUUUCCUUCAAAACUGCAUCUUUCACAGUUGUAGCUAUUAGGCUU